GCAAGACCUCACACAUAACCUAUUUUAUGUAAUAGAAAGUUUCUAAAGGAUUAUACCUCAAGGAAAAAUACGAAAGUCAAAAAAUCUGUAAAACUAAUUUUCUAAUGAGAAUGACAGUGGUUUCUGAAGAACAUAGAAGUCUAUACAAAAAAUAAAAUCAGAUUUUGAUAUGCACAGGCUCUUACUGAAAUUAAUAUAAUAAAAAGUCAUCAGUAGGACAAAAGGGAAGGCUGUAUUAACUGUAGUCCUUAUUCAAACACCAAAUCUCUUAGUUCCACAUGAGGCAGACCUUGCACUUGAGUCAAGAGUGGCAUGGUCAUUCAUAAAAUGUCAUUGCCUACGUCUGUUGCUAUGUCCCGUUGCAUUCUGAGGAGAUCAGAACAUGAGCUGCCUUCAACACUGGCAUAUUUUAAUAGUGGCAAAGAAGUUAAAAUGUGUAACAUUUGACAUUAUAGUAAUUCAAGAAGUCAUGUUGAAAACAAAUUUAAAGGAACUUAGAGAUGUUUCGUCUGGAGAAGUUUGACAAGUAACUGAAAGGGCAGUUAUUUAGAAAUAAGGUUACAUGCUGGCUAUGGUAUAGAGCAAACACAAGCAGAGCUUACAGAAUGACUUGGCUUUUUUGUAAAUGGAGCUAUUUACAAAAA